rnacentral:piRNA from 1 species
CUGUCAAACAGCUACUACCUUCACUCUGAGU